rnacentral:sRNA from 2 species
UUGACAUUCUGAACGUGAAGGCAUACUUUCAGGAGUGAGGGUAGAGCGGGGUUUCCCCCGCCCUGGUAGUCUUAGUAUGCUGGGUAGCUAAUCACUAAGAGCACCACGAUGAUGAGUAUCUUCAUCAUGACCCUUUCCUU